rnacentral:rRNA from 1 species
UUUAUGGAGAGUUUGAUCCUGGCUCAGGAUGAACGCUGGCGGCGUGCCUAAUACAUGCAAGUCGAGCGAACAGAUAAGGAGCUUGCUCCUUUGACGUUAGCGGCGGACGGGUGAGUAACACGUGGGUAACCUACCUAUAAGACUGGAAUAACUCC